GCUGGCGGCAGGCCUAACACAUGCAAGUCGAGCGGUAGAGAGAAGCUUGCUUCUCUUGAGAGCGGCGGACGGGUGAGUAAUGCCUAGGAAUCUGCCUGGUAGUGGGGGAUAACGUUCGGAAACGGACGCUAAUACCGCAUACGUCCUACGGGAGAAAGCAGGGGACCUUCGGGCCUUGCGCUAUCAGAUGAGCCUAGGUCGGAUUAGCUAGUUGGUGAGGUAAUGGCUCACCAAGGCGACGAUCCGUAACUGGUCUGAGAGGAUGAUCAGUCACACUGGAACUGAGACACGGUCCAGACUCCUACGGGAGGCAGCAGUGGGGAAUAUUGGACAAUGGGCGAAAGCCUGAUCCAGCCAUGCCGCGUGUGUGAAGAAGGUCUUCGGAUUGUAAAGCACUUUAAGUUGGGAGGAAGGGUUGUAGAUUAAUACUCUGCAAUUUUGACGUUACCGACAGAAUAAGCACCGGCUAACUCUGUGCCAGCAGCCGCGGUAAUACAGAGGGUGCAAGCGUUAAUCGGAAUUACUGGGCGUAAAGCGCGCGUAGGUGGUUUGUUAAGUUGGAUGUGAAAUCCCCGGGCUCAACCUGGGAACUGCAUUCAAAACUGACUGACUAGAGUAUGGUAGAGGGUGGUGGAAUUUCCUGUGUAGCGGUGAAAUGCGUAGAUAUAGGAAGGAACACCAGUGGCGAAGGCGACCACCUGGACUAAUACUGACACUGAGGUGCGAAAGCGUGGGGAGCAAAC
rnacentral:rRNA from 1 species